UACGGGAGGAGCAAGCGUUGUUCGGAAUUACUGGGCGUAAAGCGUGCGCAGGCGGCUUCUCAAGUCAGGGGUGAAAGCCCAGAGCUCAACUCUGGAAUUGCCUUUGAGACUGAGUGGCUUGAGUACGGGAGAGGUGAGUGGAAUUCCCAGUGUAGAGGUGAAAUUCGUAGAUAUUGGGAAGAACACCGGUGGCGAAGGCGGCUCACUGGCCCGUAACUGACGCUCAUGCACGACAGCGUGGGGAUCAAACAGG
rnacentral:rRNA from 1 species